UACAGAGGUCUCGAGCGUUAGGCGGAAUCACUGGGCUUAAAGCGUGUGUAGGUGGAUCGUUAAGUACCUUGUGAAAUCCCACGGCUUAACCGUGGAACUGCUUGGUAUACUGGCGGUCUUGAGCCAGCUAGGGGCUACCGGAACAAAUGGUGGAGCGGUGAAAUGCGCAGAUAUCAGGAGGAACACCGGUGGCGAAGGCGGGUCUCUGGGCCGAUACUGACGCUGAGGAGCGAAAGCGUGGGGAGCGAACAGG
rnacentral:rRNA from 1 species